UGGCAAGUCGAACGGUAACAGGAAUCAGCUUGCUGAUUCGCUGACGAGUGGCGGACGGGUGAGUAAUGUCUGGGAAACUGCCUGAUGGAGGGGGAUAACUACUGGAAACGGUAGCUAAUACCGCAUAACGUCGCAAGACCAAAGAGGGGGACCUUCGGGCCUCUUGCCAUCGGAUGUGCCCAGAUGGGAUUAGCUAGUAGGUGGGGUAACGGCUCACCUAGGCGACGAUCCCUAGCUGGUCUGAGAGGAUGACCAGCCACACUGGAACUGAGACACGGUCCAGACUCCUACGGGAGGCAGCAGUGGGGAAUAUUGCACAAUGGGCGCAAGCCUGAUGCAGCCAUGCCGCGUGUAUGAAGAAGGCCUUCGGGUUGUAAAGUACUUUCAGCGAGGAGGAAGGUGUUGAGGUUAAUAACCUCAGCAAUUGACGUUACUCGCAGAAGAAGCACCGGCUAACUCCGUGCCAGCAGCCGCGGUAAUACGGAGGGUGCAAGCGUUAAUCGGAAUUACUGGGCGUAAAGCGCACGCAGGCGGUUUGUUAAGUCAGAUGUGAAAUCCCCGGGCUCAACCUGGGAACUGCAUUUGAAACUGGCAAGCUUGAGUCUCGUAGAGGGGGGUAGAAUUCCAGGUGUAGCGGUGAAAUGCGUAGAGAUCUGGAGGAAUACCGGUGGCGAAGGCGGCCCCCUGGACGAAGACUGACGCUCAGGUGCGAAAGCUUGGGGAGCAAACAGGAUUAGAUACCCUGGUAGUCCACGCUGUAAACGAUGUCGACUUGGAGGUUGUGCCCUUGAGGCGUGGCUUCCGGAGCUAAC
rnacentral:rRNA from 1 species